rnacentral:rRNA from 1 species
AGCGUAGACGGUGUGGCAAGUCUGAUGUGAAAGACAUGGGCUCAACCUGUGGACUGCAUUGGAAACUGUCAUACUUGAGUGCCGGAGGGGUAAGCGGAAUUCCUAGUGUAGCGGUGAAAUGCGUAGAUAUUAGGAGGAACACCAGUGGCGAAGGCGGCUUACUGGACGGUAACUGACGUUGAGGCUCGAAAGCGUGGGAGCAAACA